AUAUGAAAAGCGCAAGUGCCAGUCCUUAAGGACUUGGUGAACGAGGAAGAGGUUAAUCGAAUUGUCAGCGGGUGCCUCUUGGUUAUGCUACAGACCAUAAGUUAAACUACAAAAACUGCGGUAACGCAUCGAACAAAAUGUUUAACAAGU
rnacentral:ncRNA from 1 species